GGUGUGAGGCUGCCCGGUGGGGUGAAUGCGCUCCUGCAGCCUGGCGGUGCCACGCAGGGCUGCUCGUUCCCGCCGGGGCUGAGCGAGCUUGGUGUCUGUGGAGAAAGUUGACACACGUAAGAGCUUAGAUAAAAGCUCCGUCUAAUUUCUGGGCUGGAAGCCGAGGGAAAGAGUCAGGCUCGCGUAGGUCUCUGUGCAGGAGCUGGCUGGAGAUUGCAUUGAAUCUGGCUCCAGCUGAUCGCAGUAUUGUAGCUGUGUUGCUGUAAUUAAGGCUGAGCUGAAUUCCUCUAAGCCCUUUUCCUUAGAAGGUUCUAUAACAAAUAGCAAUAAGUUUCCUGAAAGCUCUAUUAUCUUUCAGGACCCCAAAGCACAGCGAAGCAUACAUUAGAAUAAAGUGCAAAUUAGCUUGCUCCGCCUUGGUGGAGCUCAUGAAUUGCACACCAAGGAUGGAUUUGGAGCCACAGGGAAGCUGUUGAUGCCGGAGAAUGGAAAACCUUAGUGGUUGUCUUCUGCUGCCGAGAGGACUCUUGGACAUGGGCAGUGAUGCAUUGCUUCCUGGGCAUGGGGAGGAAAAGACAAGAAGCAAACAGCUUGCUUCUCCAGCAAGCAAGAGGAAACACAGCAAACAUGCACCAUCACUUACUGCAGAUAAUCAGACUGGAGGCAGUCAGUUCUCUGAGUGGCAUUGUCUGGCUGACAUGUUUUCACACAGUACCUGACACUGUGGUGCCCUCCUGCCACCUCAGGCUUCUGGACCCACGGUAAUAUAUCUAUUCAUUAAUAACAAGUUAAUUGCAAGUUUCAUGCUGCUUUUUUGGCUUAAUGGCUUUUUUCAUUUCCACUUGUCAUUCAGACAUCACUGUCAACAUCU